AGCGAACGCUGGCGGCGUGCCUAACACAUGCAAGUCGAACGUGAAAAGGGAAACCUGAGUAAAGUGGCGUACGGGUGAGUAACGCGUAGGUAAUCUACCCCAGAAUCUGGAAUAACCUGCCGAAAGGCGGGCUAAUACUGGAUAGAGCGAGGGAACUCGUAAGAGAGUUUUUCGGGAAAGGGAGCCCGCAAGGGCCUUCGUUCUGGGAUGAGCCUGCGUCUCAUUAGCUAGUUGGUAAGGUAACGGCUUACCAAGGCGAUGAUGAGUAGCUGGUCUGAGAGGAUGAUCAGCCACACUGGAACUGAAACACGGUCCAGACUCCUACGGGAGGCAGCAGUGGGGAAUCUUGCGCAAUGGACGAAAGUCUGACGCAGCCACGCCGCGUGAGUGAAGAAGGCCUUCGGGUUGUAAAGCUCUGUCGGAUGGGACGAACAUCUUCAUAGUGAAUAGCCAUGAGGACUGACGGUACCAUCAAAGGAAGCACCGGCUAACUCCGUG
rnacentral:rRNA from 1 species